GAGCAAUGAUGAAAAGGUUUUACUACUGACCUUUGUACUUAAGAAUGUGUCUACACUUGAUCUGAGGUCA